UUGCUCAGGGAGUUCUGACGGAAGCUGGAAAGCUCGGGUCUGCUGAGGGAAGUGACUGGCUGUUUCCGUUGGCGGCAUCUCCCCGCAGAUCUUCCUUGUCCCGGUCGUUAUCAGCACCAGGUCCUGGCAGUCACUACUGGCUAAUUAGAAGUGGCUCACCAGCGAUAACCCAUUUGCCAUCCCUCACCAUAUCCCUUUUCCUUUGGACCACAUUCAUUAUAUUUGAAGGAGCUAUAUAUUGAAGACAAUGUCUGGAAGCUUCUACUUUGUAAUUGUGGGCCACCAUGAUAAUCUGGUUUUUAAAAUGGAAUUUUUGCCAGCUGGAAAAGCAGAAUCCAAAGACGAUCAUCGUCAUCUGAACCAGUUCAUAGCUCAUGCUGCUCUUGACCUCGUAGAUGAGAAUAUGUGGCUGUCCAACAACAUGUACUUGAAAACUAGACAAGUUCAAUGAGUGGUUUGUUUUGGCAUUU